GACGAACGCUGGCGGCGUGCUUAACACAUGCAAGUCGAACGGAAAGGCCCUGCUUUUGUGGGGUGCUCGAGUGGCGAACGGGUGAGUAACACGUGAGUAACAUGCCCUUGACUUUGGGAUAACUUCAGGAAACUGGGGCUAAUACCGGAUAGGAGCUCCUGCUGCAUGGUGGGGGUUGGAAAGUUUCGGCGUUUGGGGAUGGACUCGCGGCUUAUCAGCUUGUUGGUGGGGUAGUGGCUUACCAAGGCUUUGACGGGUAGCCGGCCUGAGAGGGUGACCGGCCACAUUGGGACUGAGAUACGGCCCAGACUCCUACGGCAGGCAGCAGUGGGGAAUAUUGCACAAUGGGCGGAAGCCUGAUGCAGCAACGCCGCGUGCUGGAUGACGGCCUUCGGGUUGUAAACCGCUUUCGCCUGUGACGAAGCGUGAGUGACGGUAAUGGGUAAAGAAGCACCGGCUAACUACGUG
rnacentral:rRNA from 1 species